UCCUGGAGUCGCUCAGUUGGUAGAGCAUGAGACUCUUAAUCUCAGAGCUGUGGGUUCGAGUCCCACAUUGGGCA
rnacentral:tRNA from 1 species